rnacentral:rRNA from 1 species
CAGCAGCCGCGGGAAAACGGAGGGUGCAAGCGUUAAUCGGAAUUACUGGGCGUAAAGCGUGCGCAGGCGGUUAUAUAAGUCAGAUGUGAAAUCCCCGGGCUCAACCUGGGAACUGCAUUUGUGACUGUAUGGCUAGAGUGUGUCAGAGGGGGGUAGAAUUCCACGUGUAGCAGUGAAAUGCGUAGAUAUGUGGAGGAAUACCGAUGGCGAAGGCAGCCCCCUGGGAUAACACUGACGCUCAUGCACGAAAGCAUGGGGAGCAAACAGGAUUAGAUACCCCAGUAGUCCCUGUCUCUUAUAA